UGGCGAACGGGUGAGUAACACGUGGGUAAUCUGCCCUGCACUCUGGGAUAGGCCUGGGAAACUGGGUCUAAUACUGGAUAUGACCUUUCUCCUUAUGGUGGUUUGGUGGAAAGUUUUUCGGUGUAGGAUGAGCCCGCGGCCUACCAGCUUGUUGGUGGGGUGAUUGCCUACCAAGGCGACGACGGGUAGCCGGCCUGAGAGGGUGAUCGGCCACAUUGGGACUGAGAUACGGCCCAG
rnacentral:rRNA from 1 species